ensembl:lncRNA
CGGAGGGAGGGGGCCGCCUGGCGAUCCGCCGCCGGCCGCUGGUUCUAGGGACCUGAUCCCCUAGGCGCGAAGGGAAGAGGGGGUCGACAGUGCCCCCGGACAGCUAAAGAGCGGGGAAAGAUGCGGGGCCGAUCUUGAGCCGCCCCUCUCGGAAGCCGGUCCCGAUCCGCCCUGCCCUCGGGUCCUGCGGCCGAGUCAGUCCUCUUGGACGCAAGGCCCCAACUCCGCAGUGCCCGUUCCUCUCCCUUCGGGCCUCGAGGGCUGGGGUUGGCGGGAUCGCCCUGUGCGGGUCUCUCCGGCUCUCGCUCUUCCUCGUGCCUAGGUUGUCCUCGGCUGCGGAGGGCGACUUUCGGGCUGGUUUUGAUUUCUCAGCGGUGGCUUCCGCGGUUUAUUAGUGGUGGUUCUUAAUCGCUUUUGUGAGCAUCUCUAUUCCUUUGGAGGAAAUGGGCACAAAAAAUGGGACAAACGUCUGCUGCCAGGAAAGUGCACGUCCCUCGGAGUCGGUGCGCAAAGCACACUCGGGGCUGAACUCCUCAGACCAGGGUGAUGAAAUGGGAAACCAGGAGGCCACAUCCUCUUUCCCAGUAGGUUUUCCCUCACCCCUCCAGUUCAGGAGUUGUCAAAGUAUCCUACCUAUACUUGCCAGUUGGUUCGGGAAAAUGGUAGGAACCUCUGAGAAUGUACUGAGUGCCUUUUAUCAUUGCUCCUGCAAGCAUGAGUUCUGCAUCUUACAGAUGGGAAGCAAGGCAUCCUAGCUGGGUUUGUGCAUGUGUAUUUGUGUGUGUGCUUUUUAUGCGAAGAAAUUUCAAGCCAAGGCUUUCAGGAAAGUCAUUUCCAUUGUUUUCCAGCAUUGUCUUUUGCUGCAUUUUGUUAGAUUUGUGAGAGACAAAAGCAGUAAUUAUUACAUUUAGACUGAAUGCAGAUGUUCUGUUCCCAAAAGUUGUAUUUUAGUUUUAGGAAUUGUUUGCAUAAUGGAGCAAAAAGAAAAAGAAAGAAAGAAAGAAAGAAAGAAAGAAAGAAAGAAAGAAAGAAAGAAAGAAAAGGUAGCUGGUUGAGAAGGAAGGAAGGAGAUCUGAUUAUACUAAGGUGAUAAAUCAAACAUCUAAUCAUGCUUCUGGAAGCUAUAAAUGCUUACAUAAUAGUUGUAAAGCAUGCUCCAAAGUAUGCCAACUCUGAGGCAAACAAGGAAGUGUUACAACAAGGCCGCCUGCUUUCCCCUCAUCUCUGUCUCUUGUAUUUAAUGUGCUUUGUUUUGUGACUGGAAAGUAAGCAUAUGCAUAAUUUGCCAUUCUGAUUGCAACAUCUGGCUUCAAUGUCUAGCUUGACCCCCUCCAUUAUUUUUAAAUAUUUGCAGAUGUGGGGGGGGGCAAGCUUUCCAGGUAUGUUUUUUAAAUGACACUUGCCAAGUGCCUUCUGACUGUCCUAAAGUUAAAUGUUCACUAGCUUAAACACAGAUUUGUAGAGACAUUUUGUCAAAUUGUUACCCCUGGUGUGCAGAAUAACUUCAAAAAGUUAGUGCGACCUCCACACAUACACACAACGUACACAUGGACUGCAGCCCUGGCAUAAGAAACAGCGGUCUCUCACCUCCCCCUGCACUGCUGUCAUUCAGACAUACUUUUAGUUCUGAUUAUAUUUAUCUCAGGUUUAAGGCCAUGCUCCCAUUUAGUCUUUCCAUCUGGGUUUGAUUUGUAAUGUUUUAACUGUUUUUGCGUUUAUGGCUUUAUAAAGAGAAGCAUUUAUAAUCCCUCCCCC